GACGAACGCUGGCGGCGUGCCUAAUACAUGCAAGUCGAGCGGGGAUUAUGCUUGAUCGCUUCGGUGAGACGGCAUAUAUCCUAGCGGCGGACGGGUGAGUAACGCGUGGGUAAUCUACCUCGUAGUUCGGGAUAACAGGCCGAAAGGCUUGCUAAUACCGGAUGAGUUCAUGCUUAUGCAUAUAGGCAUGAAGAAAGGGCUAGCCCGCUAUGAGAUGAGCCCGCGUCCCAUUAGCUUGUUGGUGGGGUAAUGGCCUACCAAGGCAACGAUGGGUAGCCGGCCUGAGAGGGUGUACGGCCACACUGGGACUGAGACACGGCCCAGACUCCUACGGGAGGCAGCAGCAGGGAAUCUUGGGCAAUGGGCGAAAGCCUGACCCAGCGACGCCGCGUGGAGGAAGAAGUCCUUCGGGCGUAAACUCCUGGACGUGGGGACGGAGGAAGGACGGUACCCCAGGUAGAAGGGACGGCGUAACUACGUGCCAGCGAGCCGACGGUAAAUAGCGUA
rnacentral:rRNA from 1 species